rnacentral:rRNA from 1 species
GAUGAACGCUGGCGGCGUGCCUAAUACAUGCAAGUCGAGCGAAUGGAUUAAGAGCUUGCUCUUAUGAAGUUAGCGGCGGACGGGUGAGUAACACGUGGGUAACCUGCCCAUAAGACUGGGAUAACUCCGGGAAACCGGGGCUAAUACCGGAUAACAUUUUGAACCGCAUGGUUCGAAAUUGAAAGGCGGCUUCGGCUGUCACUUAUGGAUGGACCCGCGUCGCAUUAGCUAGUUGGUGAGGUAACGGCUCACCAAGGCAACGAUGCGUAGCCGACCGGGGAGGGGAAUCGGCCACACUGGGACUGAGACACGGCCCAGACUCCUACGGGAGGCAGCAGUAGGGAAUAUUCCGCAAUGGACGAAAGUCUGACGGAGCAACGCCGCGUGAGUGAGGAAGGCUUUCGGGUCGUAAAACUCUGUUGUUAGGGAAGAACAAGUGCUAGUUGAAUAAGCUGGCACCUUGACGGUACCUAACCAGAAAGCCACGGCUAACUACGUGCCAGCCGCCGCGGUAA